CGGGUGUGAAAUCCGCCCAGACUCUGCUCUGUGACUGAUGGAAACCCACAGGCUUCCUGUAAUACACUGGGAUCAGGAUGGUUCUCAGUUGAAGUCUUCUCUUUGGAGGCCAAGGAUACCAAAUUCGCUCACAACUCAUAGAAGUAACCUUUCAGAAUUGUAUCUAUGUGUGACAGGGAUCGUAUAUUUUUAUUUAAAUUAAUAAACAAAGUUUAUGCCUUAAGAAUG
rnacentral:lncRNA from 1 species